UGAGCGAGUAAAAUGUUUAUAGAUUUGUAUCAAAUUGACUUUUAUAUUUGCGACAAGUUGGAUUAAAAUUUUGUGGUUUUAAUAUAUAUUGAAUAGAAGCAGUGGUACAUAAAUUAAUAUACUGAAAAGACAAUAUAGUAAAGCGGAAUUGAUGCUAACAAAAAACAAGAAAUCGGUGAGAAAUAUUUUUAAAUAUAGAAGGUGAGAAUUUAUUUAUCGAUAUCCUGGGAUACCUCUGCUGUAUAAAUGUAGAAUAUUAACUAAAUACAUGGUAAAUAUAGUAAUGAUAUUUAUCAAUGCACUAUUGAAAUGCAUGUAUUCACCUGUGUUAACAAGAACAUUUGAAUAUUUGCGAGCUUUGCGAAUUUAUAGAUCAAAAUAUAGAUCUGUUAUGUACUUGCCAACAAUUUUGAUUUUAAAAUUUUUGUUUGAUGUUUAGGAAUUGAAAUGUUUUACCUGUGGCAGAAAAUUUAAAUGGUGUCAUACAGGCAUAUACAGGGACAGUUGUCAAGAAAAUAUAUAAUUAAACAAGGUCAUAUUUGAAGAAUUUGGUGAAAGUGGUAUUUGUGAGUGACAAAGUUCAGGCAAAAGACAUAUUGGACAACAUGGAUGUACAUAAUUUUGCUGUUCCUUUAUUUCGUCAAGUCAGGAAAUGGCCGAACUGCAGUCUGCAUAGUGUCAUGUUUGUAAUAUUUUCAAACAAGAUUCACCUGAUCACCACCCAACAAUGGCUUGUUGUUGGACUUCCGGGAACACCGAUAUUCUAGUUUAUAUUCAAAUGUUACUUGUUCGAACUAGUUUGCGUUAGAACAUUCACAAGGUACAGCAUCUAAUUCUGAUUAGUAUGUGAAAACUGAAGCAACAAUUUCAACACGAACACUCCAGGCAGGCACAUGUGAACAGGAAUAGAAUAAAAUUUGGAGGUUAAUAUUGUUAAUUUAAUACAUAAUAAUAAAUGUAUUUAUUGUAAUAAAAUUAUGAUGAAAUUUAUUAUUAUUAUUAUUAAAAUUAUUAUUGAAUUUUUAAUUUAUUAAAUUGUUGAAUAUGAUAUUAUUACAGCUCCAGUAAGCAGAAAUAAGCCCCAAAGCAUCAUCUUUUAUUAGUUGCUCUGCAGAGAAAGCAUCUAUUACAAUUAUUAUUUUUUUUAUAUACAUGUAAAAUAUCCAAAAACUUUCUCCAUGACAGGUUGCAAAUCACUUGAAGGUGAGAAAGGCAAUAAACCAAUCCAAGCCCUCUUCAACAGAUAUCUCUUGUGAUACAUGUCACUGGAAUAUUGCUUAAUUUUUAUAUUGUACUCAGUGAUGGUUGCUUUUUCCAGAAAAAUGACUUUGUACACUUUACCAUCAACCUGCAUCAAAUCACUAUAUAAUCAUAAUAAUAUUAAUACUCAAUACAAGUACUUUUUAUUGCUGUGGAUAUUGUUACUGCAAUAUUUGCCUUUUAUGCUCAAAUGAAUCCACAUCUCUAUGAACAAAAGAGGCAAAUUGUCCUGGCAGUGCACCAUUUAAUACCUGUAUUCUAAAAGCUCACUCACACUCAGUAGUGGAGGUUCAAUCUGAGCUUGCCUUGAGUGUCAAUGUUAUUUUUGAACUGCUAGAGGGCUAGUGUCACCUCGUACUCAGUGACUACUUACCUUCCCUAUUCCAAAACAGCAUUGACACUCAAGAGAAGCUCAG